rnacentral:rRNA from 1 species
UACAGAGGGUGCAAGCGUUAAUCGGAAUUACUGGCGUAAAGCGUGCGUAGACGGUUAUGUAAGUCGGGUGUGAAAGCCCCGGGCUCAACCUGGGAAUUGCAUUCGAGACUGUGUAGCUAGGGUACGGAAGAGGGAAGCGGAAUUUCAGGUGUAGCGGUGAAAUGCGUAGAUAUCUGAAGGAACACCAGUGGCGAAAGCGGCUUCCUGGUCCAGUACCGACGUUCAGGCACGAAAGCGUGGGGAGCAAACAGG